GAUGAACGCUGGCGGCGUGCCUAAUACAUGCAAGUCGAGCGAACAGACGAGGAGCUUGCUCCUUUGACGUUAGCGGCGGACGGGUGAGUAACACGUGGGUAACCUACCUAUAAGACUGGGAUAACUUCGGGAAACCGGAGCUAAUACCGGAUAAUAUUUCGAACCGCAUGGUUCGAUAGUGAAAGAUGGCUCUGCUAUCACUUAUAGAUGGACCUGCGCCGUAUUAGCUAGUUGGUAAGGUAACGGCUUACCAAGGCAGCGAUACGUAGCCGACCUGGGAGGGUGAUCGGCCACACUGGAACUGAGACACGGUCCAGACUCCUACGGGAGGCAGCAGUAGGGAAUCUUCCGCAAUGGGCGAAAGCCUGACGGAGCAACGCCGCGUGAGUGAUGAAGGUCUUCGGAUCGUAAAACGCUGUUAUUAGGGAAGAACAAACGUGUAAGUAACUGUGCACGUCUUGACGGUACCUAAUCAGAAAGCCACGGCUAACUACGUGCCAGCCGCCGCCGUAA
rnacentral:rRNA from 1 species